UGACAAAGUCUCAGCGUUGCGCAUCCGUGCAUUUUACGAACUCACUCGAAAUCUGGAAUCCAUGUGACGAAAUCAACUUUGAGAUUGAGUUUAAACGUUCUCUGAAUUUAUCGAAGAAUAAUUUUUCGGAUUUGAAGUACGCCUACAAGGUUACACAAGGGUCUUUCAACGUGUACUGCAACCUCACCGUUAGUUUCGCGUGCUAUGGUCUUCCGCACUGGAGUCCGUAGUAUCGACGAAAUGCCCGUGUUGGAACGGCAAUAUGCGAGUCGUCAGCAGCAUUCAUGAGAUUACGUGCUUCCUUCGCUUACCACAGUGAUUUUGCUUGAUUAAGUCGCGCCUCUUCAUACCUGUGUGAGUUGCUUCUAUGGACUUGGCUCUCAUCGAAUUCUCGGUACCAAUGCGCUGAGAUCGAUGUAAUUCGAAAAUUUCGUGAUAAGGAACAGCGCAUUAAAAUAGCGUUUUGAGGUUUGUGCUUUCAUAUUGCAACGUUUGUGAAGUACAUUUCGUCGCUUCCGCUUGGUGCUAGUCUUUCUUAAUAAGUCUAAAGCGCGGUUCAAAGAGAAAGAGGUCUUCAACGACUACGACUCGUAUUCGAGUUCACUCCUUGGUCUGUUCGGGAAGGUAUACCGGAGUGCACUAACAGAAUGCUGCUUCGGUAGAAGAGUGAUAGAAGCACUGCCUCGGUGCCCCAAAGAUAGCGUACAUGCUGCGGUGCUGCAACGCGUGGAAGCAGCCACAACAACUUUACCAGCUGGACGAAGCGACGCGGGAGUGGUUCCAGACACUAUGCAAUGUCCGAACAAACCAAAACGACUACCCGCGCGUGUUGGCGGCAAGCGACACUACCAGUGAGCAGAGGCGGUAUUGGCAUUCGCCGGGCGGAAGAAUUCGCCCUCCCAACCUAUUUGGCUUCGAUUUAUUCCGUAUCCGGACUAUUGCCACUUCUGCUUCCUAUCACUCGGUGGUGGAUGCCGAAAGCGCACAGGAGCUGUGGAAAGCUAAAUCUCAGCAGACGGAACUCUAGAGCCAGGUUUCAGGAAGUCACAGCGAACGUGGGACUUACCGCUAUGAUACGCUUCGCUGUUAGCAUUGCUUGAAAACUUCCGCUGCCAUGAAAUUAACAGGGCCCGACUUCUCGCACAAUCAAAACCAGAAGCCAGCAUCUGGUUAAAUGCGUUGCCUUGAGCUCACAUUGCAACCUCCUGGACGAAGCGAUCCAGAACAUCCUUUGAUGUAUGAAGGAGCCUCCUUCGCGACGUUCAUAUUUUCCAUGAGGCGUUCACGCGUUAUCAAAAAGAAACCUUUACGGUGCUCAACAGGUACAUACCUAAGCAAAGAUCACACCCUAGACAGCAAGUUUUUGCGUGGCGACAGCGGCUUCGGGUUCCUGAUUCCUUCUAAACCUCGUCGAAAGGCAAACGAUAAUUUUCAGAUGCGAAUGAUUGUAGGCUUGUAGCCACACUCUUCACGAAAAUGCCGGCCGGUGGCUGCUUUGCGUGCGUCUAGUUGACUUCCGCUUCCACUGCCGGGCAAAACUUCGUAAUCGGCAUGAUGGAUCUCGUAGUCGCUCGUUUCCUGAAAGCAGAUUAUUUUCGCAGCAGUUUGUGCUUUGUAGCCAUUUGCCAGAGCAGGAAUGCUUUUGGAGACGAAUGUCUGUGGUUGUCUCUUCUUACAGUCUUUAAACAAACACCAGUGACAGCGGUUCGCACAACAUUUAUAAACCGGAAAGAAAGCAUGACCAUUAGGCAGCCGGUGCUGCCUGCAAUCUUCUACUAACGCUGUCAAGCGUCAAGCCGAGAGAACCCCCGUCGUUCGCUGGAUAAUCGCUGAGGAACGGCGGGAACCUGCAAGAGCAGUCAGGUUAAUCCGAAACGCACAGAAAGAAAAAUGUUGAUACAAUAUCUUUUUAGAAAUUCGGGUAUAGUUUCUACGUGAGCCUCAUUGUCCUUUCCAACAAUGUUCCCGAUGGACGCCAAGUUGCCGAACGCGCAGGCCUCCGUGGUGCCGCCACACGUCAGGAACUGAUCGGUAAAGCAUACUGAGCGGGGCUGCAAAAUGUCAAACUAUGAGUCAACUGUAAACGUAUCUUGGGAAAAUCGCGCCUGACAACUCGCUUGCGUUGGGAUUCUUUUGCAGCAGCUGUCCCAGCAUCUGCUUCAAGUCUUUGUCGAAAAGCGCGCGGAAAUCGGAUUCGAAAAUGCUGGUGCUCAGCUGAAAGGGUGGCAUCCUCGCGAUUGACGAUCGCGCCACAACGCCACCGCUAGAGCCCCAGCAACGGCUGUCACACCGGACGCUGAAGUAUCCAUUCCACAAAAGAUGUGCCCCAAGUUCCAACUGUACCUUUGGGAGGCAGCAGGAGUUACAACAAGUUGGAAAACCACGUAGGAAUCAACGUGCAGGAAUUAGCCGGGGACGACAGCGAAGACCGUAGAAGAAAAGCCAAAGUGCGGCCGGACGUAAUAUUAGCCCAUUAUUCCUGGAACGAAAAUAGUACAGUAUUGAAAUACCUUGAAUUUUCUUGGACUAUCUUCAAAGAGUUUAUACAAGUACAGCACAAACUUGUUUCCUUCUAUUAUGUUUUCUUAUAUUUUCUUUUGUCUCUUAUGUUUUCGUGUGCUUCAGAUGUUUCUCGUGUGUUUUCUUAUGUUUUCUUAUGAUAUUUUCUUUUAUAAAAAAAUUUAUUUUAUAGAAAAAUUGAUUUGAAACUUACGCGGUUUUCGUGUGGCCUUUAUCAUGAAAUGAGUAUGGGAUUUUAUGUUGAGGUGUUUAGUAAAUUUAAACGAGCGCUUACAAUGUUGAAAACCCAAGUAUUACCGAUUGUUCAGUUCUUAGUUUUUUCGUAAACCUAGAAUUCUUGGAAAGCGUGGUUUGCACUUUUUGUAAUAAAUCGCACUUGUUGCUAUG